rnacentral:lncRNA from 1 species
GGAAGGACAGUGAGAGGGACUGUACUCUGAGCACAAGGCCAGGGGAAACAGAAUUUGAUGGAGGUACCCUGUGGAGGUGGAUAAUGCAGCCACAGUCGGGAAGUCUCCUGGAGCAGUCUGGACAUCAUGGACAUUGAUACUGCUCCUCCUGCAUCCUACUCAGAGUUGUCUAAAGGCCAGGGCAAUGCCUCUGCCAUCAGACUGGAAGUUCCCACGAUCAAGGACAACUUCAGAAUCACCUAAGCUAUAUCCUGUCUGAUCUUUUAGCUCCCCGUGCCACCAAGGACAUGUGUACUUUCAUCCCUCUCUGCAGAGACCACAAUGGCCAAUUUGACCACGAGGGAGCUGAAUGAUCCUGGGAAAUCAAGGACUGGAAUCUGACUCUCUCCAUAGUGGUGGACACAAGAUCGACAUUUAACCACUGUGCUGAUGAAGAGGACAAAGCCCAUACUGUCAUGUACACCUACUGUGUGCUCGGCACAGAGGCCAGCUGUAUAUCCAUCCCAGGCUAUUCUACACCUGGCUGUCACCCUCUGGCUCAAUGUUCUUAGAGCACAGUGCUGACCGGGUUCAGUGCCAUCUACCACCCCUGAAAGCACCUGGGGGCGACAUGGCAAGGGAGCCACAUCAAUGCCACUCUGUAGAAGAACGGAUGUCACUCUGCUACCCAAACCAAGCUUACUGCUUUCUGGGAAGCACAACAGGAUUCUGAGAUGCUGGGGUACUGCUGUCCUUCCUCACUUCUGCCCAGCUCUUCUGGCCCCUUAAGGAGCUAGACGUGAGGACAGCAGGUUCUGUUCCUAGCUCUUCAGGUAGCUGGACUUGAGAUACCUCAUCCUUAGAAUGAGGUCCCAUCUGGCUUCUGAUAGGCCUCUUAGCUGCUCACAUCUACAGCCCUGUAACCAGGUUGCAGAAGCAGCAAUGCCAGACGCACACACGCUGCCUACGCUGGCCAGACUCUACACAGCGGGGAAUUGAUGGAGAUAGGACCUUAUCCCAGUCAGCUCCUUGGAAACCUGACCUUACCCCCUACCCGUGCCAGCCGUGUCAAGCUCUGACAUCUUCCAGGGAAAACACUGACCUCUGGCCUGACAGGUUCCCCACUAAACAAAGGAUGGCAAGCUGCCGAGCUGAGGCUCAUCCUCCUGAGGGCUGGGUCGCCCUCCACCUGCCAGCUGACUCUUGUGUACACAGAUGCCCCACACCCCAGCUGUACAGCUAUGGGAGGAGGAUCGGUGCUCCCCAAGGGGGCCAUCAUGCUAACAUAACUUCAAAGGGACAUAAGUGACCAGGAAGGGGUCAGAAAGCAGAGUUCAUGGGUCACGGCUCCAGUGAGGUCCCAGCCCCGUAAAGCCUGUCAUUCAAAUGCAGGCUUUUGGAGCCCUCCACAUCUUUACUUUGGCCUGUCUAAGCUCAGACUCCAUCUGGUCCACACAGAUCUACUCCCCAGUGCCCACAAGCGCUUGUCCAUGUGGCUUCUCAAACAUUUGAAUAAACUGUACAUUUUCUGUCUGAUACUAA